AGACCCACCGGCAGACAGGCGGACCGGGCGCUCGGCUGUCGCUGUUCUCCGCGCGGCGGCUGCGGGGCUUCUGACUUGGAGAACAAUGAAGCGUGAGCUGGAGGGGAGCGAGCGGGCCGCCGGGAGCGCACUGUGUACAAACAGAGGCGGCGUGCGUGUGAGUCUGAGCCUGGCAGGCGCGCUCCCCACUCCCCCGGCGCCCGCCCGCCCUCCGCCCGCCCUGUUAUUCACUCCCCGGGUCUCCCCCUCCUCUCUCUCUCUUUUGCUCUCUCUCUCUGUCUCUCUUUUGCUCUCUCUCUCCUUCCUCCCUCCUCCCCUCCUCUUUCAGCUCCUUCUGCUAUAAGAGAAAAGGGAGACAACUGCAGCCACACCCUAGCACCUAGCACCUGCCACCACCUCUGAAGUUCCUGCAUUGCCUGUACCUUCUCCGCACAUGCUGGAGACUGUGGGGUUAAGAGCUGCACCCUUGCUGCCUGAGAGUCCCUUGGAUUCCAGCACUGACUUUAUAAUUAACCACGUUAAGGAUUCCCCUGAACUUCCUUUCUCAGUAUAACCAGGAACAGAAGUUAAGAGAUUUUGAAAAGUGACUCUUGGGGCACAAAACUGCAUGAGAGACAGAACCCUGCAAAGUGAAUUGCCCCGUAUUUCUCAGGAACUGCAACGUAGUCAGCAACCAGACCCUAAUCAGCUAAGACAGGGCUGCUCUGCUGCUCUGUCUACAAUUUAGUUAGCUCCAGGGCUGGGGAGAGAGGGUUGUGGGCUCAUCUGUUCACGGGGGCAAAAGGGUGGAAGUGAGUAGGAGACAUGCAUCUCGUUAAGCAGGACAUCUGUUUCAGAGAAGAAGUGGGGCAAGUUUGGGAACUGUGCAAGAACAUAAAGGCAAAGACAGACCCUUGAAGCAUCACUAAGGUGGAUCAAAUUUUCUUUCUAUCCGCCAAAAUAAAUGGACUGGUUUUUGCAGUGGAAGUGAUUGAACCAAAAAUACAGCUCAUGGCUUACAAUUGUGCUUUCUUCUCUGUUUUUCGGUUAGAAUGAUUGCUUAUUGUACAUGGAUCCAAUUCCAGCAGUUACAGAGAGGGAGGUAGGGAGAGAGACAAACACAGAGCUAGAGAAAUUGAAAGAGAAACAUUCUCGAAGGCAAAGAGUUGAAAGGUGAAUCUACUAAGAAAAGAAUAACAGAGUGCAAUUAGCCAUGGAACUACAUCUCCAUCUGCCUCCUUUAAAGGAUGAGUCCUUUAAAGAGCCUUUGGAAGGAAUUGGGCCAUGAGAAGAGCCCUCAUGAAUGGGAUUAGUUCCCUUAUAAGAAGAGACACCAAGGAAGUGAUCUUUCUCUGCCCUCUGCUAUGUGAAGACAAGGUAAGAAGACAGCUAUGAACCAAGAAGCAGGCCCUUACCAGACACCAAAUCUGCUGGUGCAUUGAUCUUGGACUUCUCAGCCUCCAGGACUGUGAGAAAUAAAUGUUUAUUGUUGAAGCCACCCAGUCUACAGUAAUUUGUUAUAGCAGCUGAAAUUGACUAAGACAAUUUAAAAAAAUUAAUCUCAUUGACUAUCAAUUUGGAUUCUGGAGCAUACCUGGAUUCAGGUCAUCUGCAGUUUUUUGUUGUUGUUGAUGAUCUUCCUGUCAUAGACAAUGCUGUAACAAACAGACUAAUUGUUCACUGUUGACAUAUAGAAGUACUACUGAUUGGCCAGACAUAGUGGCUCAUGCCUGGAAUCCCAGCACUUUGGGAGGCCAAGGCAGGUGGAUCACUUGAGCCCAGAAGUUUGAGACCAGCCUGGGCAACAUGAUGAAACCCCAUCUCUACAAAAUAAAUAGAAAAAUUAGCUGGGUAUGGUGGCAUGUGCCAGUAGUCCCAGCUACAUGGGAGCCUGAGGUGGGAGGACGACUUGAGCCCAGGAGGUGGAGGUUACAGUGAGCUGAGAUCAUGCCACUGCACUCCAGCCUGGGUGACAGAGUGGGACUCUGUCUAAAAAAAAAAUUGUAUUAUCUGUAAACGGAAAUAUAAAUAAUUUAACUUCUUCUUUUCCAAUUUGGAUUCCCUUUAUUUCUUUCACCUGUAUGAUUGCUUUAGCUAGAGCUUCCGGUAAUAUGUUGAAUAACAGUGAUGACCAGUGGGCAUCCUUGCUGUGUUCCAGAUCUUAGAGAAAAGACUUUCAGUUUUUUUCCCCAUUUAGUAUAUGAGCUGUGGACCUGUAAUAUAUGGCUUUUAUUAUGUUGAGGUAUGUUACUUCUAUACCUAGUUUUCUUAGGUUUUGUUUUUUUUUA
rnacentral:lncRNA from 1 species